UAGGGAAUAUUGGACAAUGGGGGGAACCCUGAUCCAGCCAUGCCGCGUGAGGGAAGAAGGUCCUCUGGAUUGUAAACCUCUUUUGGCGGGGGACAAACCUGCGCUACACGCGCAGCUGAGGGUACCCGCAGAAUAAGCACCGGCUAACUCCGUGCCAGCAGCCGCGGUAAUACGGAGGGUGCAAGCGUUGUCCGGAUUCAUUGGGUUUAAAGGGUGCGUAGGCGGCCUGGUAAGUCAGCGGUGAAAUACCCACGCUCAACGUGGGAACUGCCGUUGAUACUGCCGGGCUUGAGUUCGUGCGAGGUCGCUGGAAUGCGUGGUGUAGCGGUGAAAUGCAUAGAUAUCACGCAGAACACCGAUUGCGAAGGCAGGUGACUGGCACGCGACUGACGCUGAGGCACGAAAGUGUGGGGAGCAAACAGG
rnacentral:rRNA from 1 species